GUUCCGGCUAUCGCGGCCCGCGAGCGGGCGUUGCGGGCGUCGGUGCUCAGGCCCACCCGUACCACCUCCCACGCUUCGAAGGCGUGCCGGAACA
rnacentral:tRNA from 1 species